rnacentral:rRNA from 1 species
AUUGAACGCUGGCGGCAUGCCUUACACAUGCAAGUCGAACGGCAGCACGGGUACUUGCACCUGGUUGCGAGUGGCGAACGGGUGAGUAAUACAUCUGAACAUGUCCUUUAUUGUGGGAGAGCCCUGCGAAAGCCGGAUUAAUACCGCAUACGAUCUACGGAUGAGAGCGAGGGACCUUCGUCCCUCGCCCUAGAGUGUUUGCCGAUGGCUGAUUAGCUAGUUGGUGGGGUAAAGGCCUACCAAGGCGACGAUCAGUAGCUGGUCUGAGAGGACGACCAGCCACACUGGGACUGAGACACGGCCCAGACUCCUACGGGAGGCAGCAGUGGGGAAUUUUGGACAAUGGGCGAAAGCCUGAUCCAGCAAUGCCGCGUGUGUGAAGAAGGCCUUCGGGUUGUAAAGCACUUUUGUCCGGAAAGAAAACCUUGGCCCUAAUACGGUCGGGGGAUGACGGUACCGGAAGAAUAAGCACCGGCUAACUACGUG